rnacentral:tRNA from 1 species
GCGUUCGUGGUGUAGUGGUCAGCACGCUCGGCGCGUAUUCGAGAGGUCCGUGGUUCGAGUCCCGGCGAAGGCA